UGGGGAAUUUUGGACAAUGGGGGCAACCCUGAUCCAGCCAUGCCGCGUGCGGGAAGAAGGCCUUCGGGUUGUAAACCGCUUUUGUUCGGGAAGAAAUCCUCUGGGCUAAUACCCCGGGGGGAUGACGGUACCGGAAGAAUAAGCACCGGCUAACUACGUGCCAGCAGCCGCGGUAAUACGUAGGGUGCGAGCGUUAAUCGGAAUUACUGGGCGUAAAGCGUGCGCAGGCGGUUGUGCAAGACAGAUGUGAAAUCCCCGGGCUUAACCUGGGAACUGCAUUUGUGACUGCAUGGCUAGAGUGCGGCAGAGGGGAGUGGAAUUCCGCGUGUAGCAGUGAAAUGCGUAGAUAUGCGGAGGAACACCGAUGGCGAAGGCAGCUCCCUGGGCCUGCACUGACGCUCAUGCACGAAAGCGUGGGGAGCAAACAGG
rnacentral:rRNA from 1 species